rnacentral:lncRNA from 1 species
UAACCGUCGAGUUAGGCGCGCGCAUGGUCUAAACCGGCCUCAGGUGAUCCGAUUGGAUAGGGGCGGUUCUGUUCUGUUCUGAACGGUUGCAACCCUUCCCUGAACAGUCACAAUGGUUCAUGACUUGUGUAGGUUAAGGCGUGGUCCUUUGGCCAUAGGCCGGACACACGCACGGACCAGACAGUCCAUACGGACGGUUAGGUCGAACGGUUGGAACAUCUGAAUGGGUGCGAGUUGCCAAGGGUCAUGACUUGCCAAGAGGCACGUGUGUCCAAAGGGUACUAGUUCCCAAAGGGUGUGAGUUCCAAACGGUGCCAUUGGUUCAAGGCUUAGGCCGAACCAAGUGGACAGUCCACGGCUGCAUAGUCGAACGGACGGACGGUUAGUUUAACCGGAGUGUUGUGUUGCAAGGUCUGAUUGGUUGCAAGGCAAUCCGGUUUGGUCUUGGGCCUUACUCUGUGGUAUGGAUCCAGGCUUUGGGUCGGAUCAGGUAAGAAGGUCCGUGAGCCUUUAGGCCGGACUUAUAACUGGCCGAUCGCACCUAGAUCUUAAUCAGACGGUUAGACGGGACUAUGGACAAUCCGGCUAAGGUUGGAUGGUUCUAGCCGCAAAGGCUAAGUAGGAUAUCUUACAAUCAACCUCGGGUUGGUGAGUAGGAUAGGCGCCAUAUGCCUUAUGUAGGGCGUAGACCCACAUGAUGGCAAUGGAAGGCCGGUCAUAUCAGUGCAUGCUAAGUGGACGAUGGCUUAUCAAGUCUAGUGGUCGGAUCAUGUUUCAUGACGAUGGUUCGAUGGCCGAACACUAGUAUGGAUAAUCAUGUUGCUGGAGUAAGAGUAUUGGUGUGAUGCUUCUAGAUAUCAACCUUGGUAUUGAUAACUUCGAGAUUGGCUAAGAGUCAUGACGAAGAGUAUGGCUAGUACUAUGUGUUGUAGACCAUAAGUAUUGAGCUUAGGUGUGAUUGUUCAAGGAAGGCCGUGUAAGAUCUGAUCAUGGUUGAGUAUGGACGACCUGACCUCUGAAUGAUGGCUCAAGGUGUCGGUCCUAACCUGAUUAAUGAAUGCAUCGGUUGGUAUGAACAAAUCAUAUCUGUUGUCUGGGUUAAGUCCCAAGGCCGGUCAGGCCAGAUGAUGACUCAUCAGUUCCAAGUCAUGUGAGGAUGGUUGGUUGAUUGACUUAGGAUCUCAUGAGCUUUGUCAGUCCAGAAGAUGGACUUGGUACGAUUGCCUAUAAGGCAAAAAGGAUUUUGGAUUGUGCUUGAGCCGAGAUAGGCCAAAUACAUACCCUUAUCCUUUCAAAGACUUCUCAAAGGUUACUUAUGUCGGUGGGGAUGGUUGGUUGAAUGACUAAGUACCAAGGGGAGCUGUUUGAUGCAGUAGUCAAGAUAAGGACCUUAAGUAAGAUCAUUGAGUGAUCGUGGUCCAGCUGUUAAGCAAGAGCGAUUCGAGUCAAUGGAAGACCGAUGAGCUAAUAAGCUCCAUAGAUGUGGCAAACGUAUGAUCUAGCAUUUACUUAUGUAGAUCUAGAUAGAAUGGUUUAGGGGAAUGGAACCUCAGAAUUGUAUGGCUUGGUUUGGGUUUAGGAUUGACCUUUAAGCUAAUUGGUAGUUGAGUAAACUGACCAAGGCUAAGGUGAUUCGACCAGACAAGUGUUUUGACUGGUUUUAGACCAAUGGUUAACUACAGAAUAAUCCACUGCGUAUCUGUUGAUAGGAUCUAGGCUAUUAAUGACUAGGGAAGUCUUUAGCUAAGAUCUAAGUUAGCCCUCGCCUUUAGGCAAUAUUAUAAAUAAAGGGCGAAAAUUAAGAGGUUCGGCCAGGAAGUGGACCGACCGACGUGAGGCAUCGACGUUGGCCUAGGCGGCCGGGAUCGGGUCUUACAAGUUGGUAUCAGAGCAUGCUUGAUCCUGUUUAGGACAACGCUCUAUGAUGUUGGUUUCCAAACCGAAAUUAUUUCCAAAACUAUGAUGACUAUGAAACCUUAGUUGGGGUGAGCCAAGAAAGAGUUGAGGUAAUCUAGGGUAUCAUGCUUGUGAAUGUGGGAAUUCUAAGAUGAACCGGCUAAGCCAAGAUACAUUUUCCAAGGGCAAGAUCCUAAAAACAGAAAGGUUGGUCGAUCUAGUUAUUAAGAAGUAAUAGACGGGUUGGAAGGGAUGGAAGCAAUGCAAAACUUGUUUAUGGAUUACCUGGACAAGGGAAGUAACAUGGACCAGAGAGUGGCUUAGGUUGAAAUAAACGUGCAGCACUCUACAGAAGUUAAGUGUUAUCCCUUGAUGGCCGUUCAUAAUAUGUAAAGCAUAUGCAAUGUUAAAUCUGACUCAAAGGAGACACUACAUGACCAGUACACGAGUGGACUUGUGAUCAGAUGGAUCAGCUAGGACUCGGUAUACGUCAAGGUAGGUUUCCUUAGAUCUAGUGGGAUGGAAUGAAUCAAUUCCAAUCUGAAUCCGUCCAAAGAAAGAAUUGAGGAAACUCAGGGUGUUCGUUCCAAUCAUUGGAAGAACAUGAUGUUAAGUAUCUUAGUAUGAUGGGGAUUGAGGUAUAUUAUAAUUUCUGUUGUGAAUGGUGUCAGCAUUCGCAAUAGGAAGACGCUUUGGAGAAUGGUGUGAGACAUUUUCCAAAUGUGUGAUUAAACCGAAAUUCUACUCAUCUAAGUAUCCACUAGAAGUGGAACGGGUGGCAUUGUUGGAGUCUAACUUGGCUGAAGAAGCUAAGCUUAAGGCUAAGCCACAGUCUGGCCCAUCGGGCAAGACUAAUGAUAAAAAGAGAAAAUGGGACCAGGUGGACGGAGGUGAGACCUCUGGUUGCCAACCUGAGUGUUCUAAAUGUGGACGGAACCAUACCGGAGAGUGCUGGAAGGCCAAGGGGGCUUGUGUUCGUUGUGGCAGCAUGGACCAUGGGGUUCAAAACUGUCCUCGACUGAACCUGUCUGGUAGAAGCGGCCAGAUGACUUGUUUCCAUUGUGGCCAGCAAGGACAUUUCCAAUCGGAGUGUCCCAAGCUGCAAGGAAGUCAGGGGAAGGGCCGUGGAGACACAGGCAAGGCAUCCCAAGGCAAACCAACCACAACACCAAAGGUGUAUGAACUGUCACGAGACGACGGGGCUUCCGAAUCUUUUGAUUUGAUCUCUGGCAAUCUCUAAAUUUAUCUUUUUACAUUCAAGUAGUAAUGCUUUGUCUGGAACCUAGAAUAGUCUAGGGGAUUCUGAUGGGGGUCUCUGAUAGUAACCCUCAUGAUUGGUGGUGUAAAAACCCACGUACUUUCCGACGCAGGGCUACACAUAGGUUUUGUGAGUCCGGGACUGGUCGGAAAGGGUCUGUUCUGUCUGUACGCUGGUGAUAAUUUUGGGAUAGUGAGGGCAGCCAGUGGGCAAGCCAGGAACUCACUAGGUCUCAUGUCGAAUAUCCCAGUGCAGAUCCAGGGAAAGGUCUUCCCUGUGAAUCUUGUAUGUGUCCACCUAAAGAAUCACGAGAUGAUCCUAGGUAUGGACUGGUUGGGAAAGUAUCGGGCCACUCUCGAUUGCCAUAGAGGUCGUGUGCAAUUGGAGACUGGGCUUCAUCCGAUCCAGUACCAAUGUCUGUGUCCGGCUCAAGAGAAAGUAGUGGUUUCAGCAGUUCGAGCGAUUCAGAUGUUGGAACAGGGUUGUCAGUCCUUUUUGGCUACAAUUACAACUAUAGAGCCGGGCAGUUCUGUCUGUCUGAAAGACCUUUCAGAGGAUUCGUUGGUGUCGAAGUUCCCAGAUGUGUUCCAGGUACCUCAGGGUGUCCCCCCUGAUAGGUCGGAUCCAUUUACGAUUGAACUAGAGCCAGGGACAGCUCCGCUGUCCUAGAGUCCGUUUCUGUCGGCUCCGGCCGAGAUGGCAGGGCCGAAAUUGACCAUGUCCGAGAGAGGACCAUGGUCGCAGUACAACCAAGUCGGAGUUUGACCUAAGGUUAAGAAUGAUCAAGUCCAGUAAAGGACGAGGAUCAGGCCACGACCUAUUCGGAGAUGGACCUAUGGUCGGGGUGAAACGGUCGAGUCCCUGAGUGGACCAGGACCAGAGUACGACCGAGUCCAAGGAAGGACCAGGAUCGAAUUAUUACAAAGUCCACUGAAGGACAGAAGUCAAGUCUGAGGCGUUUUUAGUCUGGAGGGACUAAGAUCGCAAUGUGGCCAAGCCUGAAAAGGUUGUGGCCGAUUAAGGGGAUGAUCCAUUACGUUGUGGCUAAGGUCAUGAAUCUUAUUGUCCAUGAAGGACAAAAGAACCAUAACAAUCUGUUAGGACUUGUUGUAGGACGAGCAGCCUAAAGAUUGGAACAAGUUCGUGAGGACUUGACUGGUACAUCGAAGUGGUCAUUUGGUGGUUUUGAAUCAAGCUUGUUCUAUUAUCUGAUCAAGACUAGAAUAAGUUCAGUUGGAAUAUUUUGUCUUGGGACAAGGUAUAAUCAUUACCGGAUUCGAGGACGAAUCCAUUAAAAGUGGGGGAGACUUGUCACGCCCCCAAUCCUGGAAAGGAUUGUCGGGACGGCCAUGGUUCGAGGAAACGUACCAGCCAGUCUUAGGACAUCAAGGCAAGCGUUCCAUGGUCAAGAAAAAGGUUUAGGACAUAAGAAAACUUAGACUUAACCUUAUAAGAGCAAAGAGACGGCUAAGACGAGUAAGACGGUAGCUGGACGAGAUAGAGAAGUAGCUCGACCAGCUUAACGAAGCUAGGUUGAGUUCACUCCAGCUCAGCCACUACUAAGUCAGCUCCACUGGCUGGACUACUAGCUCACUCAGCUGAGGCAGCUGGGAGUCAGCUCAUCUCAGCUAGACGGACUGUUCGUGUUUUAGGCCGAUGGUCCGGGUCCGGGUCAGUGGCGGGCUGUGAGGUCCGGCCAUGAGGCCAUGGGCUGUUGGGUCCUUGGACAAGGCCGUGGGCUAAGUCCAGGAGGCUUGGGGCGUGGGUUGGGCUUAUGACCGACCCCAAACCCAAUCAGAAAGGGCGAAGGGAUGCAAGUGGCCGAGAGGGCACAACCCUUGGCCGA